rnacentral:rRNA from 1 species
GCUGAGACAACUUGUGACUGGCUAGAUCACGCUGGCGGCGCGCCUAACACAUGCAAGUCGAACGAGAAAGGGGAGCAAUCCCUGAGUAAAGUGGCGUACGGGUGAGUAACACGUGGAUCAUCUACCCUCUUGUGGGGAAUACCGCUGGGAAACCGGCGACAAUACCGCAUAAGCUCGAGAGAGGAAAGCCGAAAGGCGCUGGAGGAGGAGUCCGCGGUCGAUUAGUUAGUUGGCAGGGUAAAAGCCUACCAAGACUGUGAUCGAUAGCCGGCCUGAGAGGGCACACGGCCACACUGGCACUGAAACACGGGCCAGACUCCUACGGGAGGCAGCAGUGGGGAAUCUUGCACAAUGGGGGCAACCCUGAUGCAGCGACGCCGCGUGAGUGAUGAAGCCCUUCGGGGCGUAAAGCUCUUUCGGCAGGGACGAUUAUGACGGUACCUGCAGAAGCAGCUGCGGCUAACUACGUGCCAGCAGCCGCGGUAAUACGUAGGCAGCAAGCGUUGUUCGGAGUUACUGGGCGUAAAGGGUGCGUAGGCGGCUUUUUAAGUUUGGUGUGAAAUCUCCUGGCUUAACCGGGAGGGUGCGCCGAAUACUGAGAAGCUAGAGUAUGGGAGAGGAAAGUGGAAUUCCUGGUGUAGCGGUGAAAUGCGUAGAUAUCAGGAGGAACACCUGUGGUGUAGACGGCUUUCUGGACCAUAACUGACGCUGAGGCACGAAAGCGUGGGUAGCAAACAGGAUUAGAUACCCUGGUAGUCCACGCCCUAAACGAUGCAUAUUUGGUGUGGGCCAUUCAUUUGGUCUGUGCCGGAGCUAACGCGUUAAUAUGCCGCCUGGGGAGUACAGUCCGCAAGGCUGAAACUCAAUGAAUUGGACUGGGGGGCCCGCACAAGCGGUUGGAGC